GCUGUCGAGUGCAACGAGGCUGCGAUCUUUUGAUCGUUCACUCGUGACUCAACCGUCAGUGGAAAGAUCGCAGCCUCGUUGCACUCGACAGC
rnacentral:misc_RNA from 1 species